rnacentral:misc_RNA from 1 species
GAAUUUAAUUAUUCUCCAUUGUUUGGCGAUUUAUCCAUUUGGACAACUUAGCAGUUGAAAGAUAUCUGUAUAGAUGUGUCAUUUCAUCAUUUGACUGUAGAACUAUUCUGCUCACUAUUGUUUUAGGACGCUCUGAUCUGUGUUUGCCUGCAUAUCAUUUUCUUAGUAAUUGUCCACUUUCUUAGUAAUUGUCCACGAAACAAUCGUAUAGUAA